CAGGGCGGCUCGCUGAGCUCCUCGCGCAGCCCCACAGCGCUCCGCAUCCAAUCGCUGCUCGUCCUUUGCGCCUUGCAGCCUUUGUUUGCAGGGUCGCAGCCCGGAGCGGCUCCGCCAUUUCACGCGUGGCGCUCCGGGACGUGGCACGAAGCAGCGCUCGAGUCCGAUCCGAACAGAGCACUGCUAUGAUUUGAGGAUUUCAUCUGUGCCUUUGCUGUUUCCACACUGGAUCAAUACUGUUUACACAGAAGCAGCAUUAUAGGUCCUCGGUGAAGAGAUUUGACCAAGUAAGGAGUUCUGUCUGGCAGACAAAGACUUGCCAACAUUUGUGGUGAAAUAAUCUGCUCUGUUUGGAGACUGCAGGAAAAAUCCUUUCUGUACAGCUGAGAAUUUCGCACUUCAUAACACUGCACAGUUGACCUGCAGAAUGAGAUCACCGUGGCUGUUAGCAGCUGAAGUGCUUCUUUGUGCCUGGUGACCUCUGUUUCCACGUGCCCAGCUCCCAGAAGGUGUGACUUGCAUGGGAAAUCCUGUUCCACCCCAGGGAUACGGGCAGACAGAGUUUGUCAUUGUCAGGGAGAAAACGUGGCUGCGUGUGAACCACCAGGAGGACAGACGGACGCGUGCACGCCAGUGGCCGGACAGAAAUUUCAAGCAACAGUUCUUGGAAACCAUAUGGGGAUCAGCCUGGGAGUUCUGCAAGGUUGGCCUGUCAUUGGUGAAUUCAUAUGUCAUCGACAACAUGAAUUCUUCUGAACUUGGAAAGCUUUCAUUUGAAGAUGACCUUUCAUUUCAACAUACCUGCAGGAAGCUCUGGAAAGUCUGGGUCUGCCAUGUGCAAAACUACUUACUAGUGACAGCAAAAGCAAUUUUAGAAGAGAGACAGAAUGGGGAAGUGCUGCUGGGAAAAAUGGAAGGCUUCAGGAUGUUUUCUGAGAUUCUUGUAGUAAAUGGAAACCAAUGGAUUCCUUUGAACACUUCCACUGAACAGAAAGUGUGACCAGUUCCACCUGAGUAAUACCUGGGUCAUCCUCCACAUUAGAUGUGCACGCAUAUAUUUAAAAUAAAAAAGUUACAGAACUACUCAGCACCAGAAGAAAGCAUAUGGCUGCACUAGAGGAAUUUUGGAUGUCUACCAGUGUUGCUUUUCAGGAAUACCUGUUGUUCAGCAAGGAGACAGGCACCAAGUAGCUCAUCUCCAUCUGAUGUGAUAGCUGUACCCUAUCCAGUCAUCACUUGAAACCCACCAGUGGCCAGGCCUGGAACUGGGCUUAUUAAGCCCAUUUUCAUCAAGUCUGCCUGAAAGCUAAUUUUCAACUCCAUCCUUUCAUGUGCUUUACGGGAGAUUAAGAUGAAAUUAGUGCAGGAAGGAUACUGCUCAAGAUCAUUUUAAGAUUUUCCAAGGCUCACCAGCUUGUUGACCUGUAAACCACCUUUAGCUGGACAGAUGACCCAAAGAGUGCAAACAUGCUCCAAGAAGAGAGAAGGGGAUGAGGAGAGAAGCCAAGCCACCAGCCCUGCGUCUGACUGUUGGAUUGGGAUUCAGGGCAGGAGUUAGGAUGCUUCACAUCCCAACAGCUGCACUCUGUCUUCAGGAUCUGAGAAACUGGACAAGACAACUGAAAAGGAAUCCAGUUGUUUAAGCUUCGGCUGCAAUUGUGUUUAUAUUUGUUUUGCUUGUAACCUUUUGUUUUCAGCCUUGCAACUAAAAGCCUGACCUUGUCUUGCUUAAUAAACCUUGUGCAGAAGCUUUA
ensembl:lncRNA